UGCAUUCUUGUGCACUGGUUGAAUUCAGGUU
rnacentral:piRNA from 1 species